rnacentral:rRNA from 1 species
CAACAGGGAUUGCCUUAGUAACUGCGAGUGAAGCGGCAAAAGCUCAAAUUUGAAAUCUGACGUCUUCGGCGUCCGAGUUGUAAUUUGGAGGGGCAUCUUCGGAGUUGGCGCCGUCCUAAGUUCCUUGGAACAGGACGUCAUAGAGGGUGAGAAUCCCGUGCCUGGAUGGCUGUCCAUCUCCAUGUGAAGUGUCUCCGACGAGUCGAGUUGUUUGGGAAUGCAGCUCAAAAUGGGUGGUAAAUUUCAUCUAAAGCUAAAUAUUGGCGAGAGACCGAUAGCGCACAAGUAGAGUGAUCGAAAGAUGAAAAGCACUUUGAAAAGAGAGUUAAAAAGUACGUGAAAUUGUUGAAAGGGAAGCGCUUGAGAUCAGACUCAAUCUUUGGUGAUCAGCUGUGCUUCUGUACAGUGCACUUGCCUUUGAUUGGGCCAGCAUCGGUUCUGACGGCGGGAUAAAAGGCAGAGGAACGUGGCUCUCUUCGGGGAGUGUUAUAGCCUCAGUCAUAAUGCCGCCAGUUGGGACCGAGGACCGCGCUUCGGCUAGGAUGCUGGCGUAAUGGUCUUAAGCGACCCGUCUUGAAACACGGACCAAGGAGUCUAACAUCUAUGCGAGUGUUCGGGUGGAAAACCCUUGCGCGUAAUGAAAGUGAACGGAGGUGGGAAACCCCUCGGGGUGCACCAUCGACCGAUCCUGAUGUCUUCGGAAGGAUUUGAGUAAGAGCAUAGCUGUUGGGACCCGAAAGAUGGUGAACUAUGCCUGAAUAGGGUGAAGCCAGAGGAAACUCUGGUGGAGGCUCGCAGCGGUUCUGACGUGCAAAUCGAUCGUCAAAUUUGGGUAUAGGGGCGAAAGACUAAUCGAACCAUCUAGUAGCUGGUUCCUGCCGAAGUUUUCCCUCAGGAA